rnacentral:rRNA from 1 species
UCGUAGGUGACCUGCGGA